AGUGAAUAUUUAACGGCCGCGGUACCCUAACCGUGCAAAGGUAGCAUAAUCAUUUGUCUAUUAAUUGUAGACCGGCAUGAACGGCAAAAUGAGGGCCUAACUGUCUCUUAUAGUAAAUCAAUUAAACUGAUCUCCUAGUAAAAAAGCUAGAAUAAGAACAUAAGACCAGAAGACCCUGUGAAGCUUAAACUAAACCAUUAAAUCAAAUAAUGAUUACUUUCGGUUGGGGCGACCCUGGAAAAAAAAAGAACUUCCAAUCUGUAUACCCACACAACAGGCCCACAAGCCACACACUUGACCCAGCAUAGCUGAUAAUCGAACCAAGUUACUCCAGGGAUAACAGCGCCAUCUUCUUCAAGAGCCCAUAUCAAAAAGAAGGUUUACGACCUCGAUGUUGGAUCAGGACAUCCUAA
rnacentral:rRNA from 1 species